GGGUUUGGGACCCAGCCAUCUGGAAAGCCCAUCUGUGUGCGUGUUGUCGGAUACAAGACAGAUUUGCCUCUGUUCUGUCUCCUGCAGCCUUCUACAGAACCUCAUGAGAUGAGUCUCAGAACAGGCUGCUGGACAAGAAGGGGUACAGCUUAUUUAGCCCCCUCUGAUCCAGGAUUGCCCAUGGAUGUUCCUGUGUUGCACAAGGGGGUUCCUGUGGACAUCUCACCAUCCUGGUCCCAGGGUGAACUUGGUGCAGAGAUACGGAGGAAGCAAAGAAGAAAACAGCUAUGCACAGCGAUCCAGCUUGUCAAGGCUGGGAAGGAACAGCAGUGUUGCGGCAGGAAAACUGGCCUCUGUACUUCAUCCGGGGCUCUCCACAGGCACCAGCCUACAUGGGAAGCUGGAAAGGAGAUCAGUGCCGUUGCUCAGGGACUGGAAGCAGCAAGUGGUGCCCGAACAGGGACCAGACCAGACCUGAUUUGAUCAGAAACAAAACAGGAGAAGAAGCCCCAACAUGAGUUCUACACGGUCAUGCCUUUUUCCCCACUGAAGCAUGCGAAAAUCCCUCCCAACGACUGAAGAAUCAAACUGCAAAAUCAACUUUCCUACUUCUUCACAAACAAGGGGGAGAUGCAACUGCCCCUCGGAACAAUGUGUUCCUUAAACUAGAACCCCUGGAGGAUUUUACUAGUUACCAAGCACAUUUAGAUAGGGCCUUAAGAAAAACAUAUACUGGCAACAGGUCUUUGGGGAGAAGGACAAUAUACGACCGGGAAGCCGAGCAGCCAGGAACGCCCGGUCAGCGCAGGGUGGAACGAAAUACGGCCUGCUUCCCUUUUCCGUUAUUGCUCCUUUCUCUUCCCAGAAGCGCCUGUUGUUAGAUGAGUCCUUUGAAUGUGCUUGGUUAACUAUAAACUUUAUCCUCCUCGUUUGCCCACAAGACAUGUGACUAAUGUUCGACCUUCAUCGGUUCUUCUGUUGGCUUUUGUUUCUGUCUAAUAAAAGUGAGACUGUGGAGUUGCUCGGGUGCAACAGUCUUUUUGACUGUUGUCCCCUGCUCCCAAUCUCUUGAAACUGA